GAUGCUUUGGUGCCUUCGGGAACUCUGAGACAGGUGCUGCAUGGCUGUCGUCAGCUCGUGUUGUGAAAUGUUGGGUUAAGUCCCGCAACGAGCGCAACCCUUAUCCUUUGUUGCCAGCGGCUCGGCCGGGAACUCAAAGGAGACUGCCGGUGAUAAACCGGAGGAAGGUGGGGAUGACGUCAAGUCAUCAUGGCCCUUACGGCCAGGGCUACACACGUGCUACAAUGGCGCAUACAAAGAGAAGCGACCUCGCGAGAGCAAGCGGACCUCAUAAAGUGCGUCGUAGUCCGGAUUGGAGUCUGCAACUCGACUCCAUGAAGUCGGAAUCGCUAGUAAUCGUAGAUCAGAAUGCUACGGUGAAUACGUUCCCGGGCCUUGUACACACCGCCCGUCACACCAUGGGAGUGGGUUGCAAAAGAAGUAGGUAGCUUAACCUUCGGGAGGGCGCUUACCACUUUGUGAUUCAUGACUGGGGUGAAGUCGUAACAAGGUAGGCGUAGCGAG
rnacentral:rRNA from 1 species